AGUUUGCAGCCUUGUUUUUGAGGCCUUAAAGUGCUGUAGCAGCACAUCAUGGUUUGCAUGCUGUGCUAAAGGUGCGAAUCAUUAUUUGCUGCUUUAGAAAUUUAAGGCAGAGAAGCAGUUGAAGAUCCUGAUGUCAGUUUUUUCUGCUCAGAAAUGUGUGUUCCUGACAAGUGGAUGAAUGGAAGAGUUGUGCUUGUUCCGCCCUAGCAGCACGUAAAAGUGCAUCGAUGUUAACCUAAACCUUGAUGAUUCUGCUCUUAUCUGCAGCUCCCAUGUGGAGACAUGGUUUUACUGAGAAGUAAGUAUGGAAAAAUGAACUGUGCACAGAAACUGAGGGCAAGGGAAAACACAUGUAGUGUGCCUGUUGUUUACACUUGUUUAGCUGCUGUAGAGGACUCAAGGAAUGGCAGGUUUGUAGCCAGUUCAGGCCCUGGUUUUAAAAGCUACAGUUGACAACCCAUACUGGAAAAAUAAUCACAGAAUUUGUCAAUAUAAUAUCAUUUAUAUUCAUGUUUGACCUUAAAAUUGUGAGGCUUGCUUACUUCUGUUUUAAAGGCAGGCUGAAGAGAACCACACUGAUUUAUUUUUUUUUGUUUUGUUUUGUUUUUUUUUUUCCUAAUUUUCAAAUGAGAAUUUUGCUAUGUGCCAAACAAUUACUUGAAAUGUAAAUUGAGUUCAAGUACUUGAUGGAAGUAUUUAAAUCUUAAUUAAAUUAAAUAACUAUUUCUGCAAUUACCUGUAAUUAUUUCACCACUAACAGGUCCCAAAUCUCCUCUGGCCUAGAAAUUAGUGAUCAGUGAGAGCCUCCCAAGGCCUGAAAUAUUUUAAUAGAAUUUAUUUUAAGCCUGUUUCUGUCAAAGGAGCUUCCAGUUCCCCUCUUAAAAAAAAAGUAUAAAAAGCUUGUAGCUGGGUGGCUGUGUUUGCUUCACUUCCUCAAGCCUUUCUGUGCCGGCCUUUUUUACAGCUACACCCACAAAAAGAGGAUAUCUCUGUUUUCAAGUCUCCAUGCCAAUUAAUUAUCUCCUCCACCACUUUAUCCCUGUAUUUUCUGUUUCAAGAUGGAGCAAGAAGUACCUCCAAGAAAACAACUACAGUAAAUACACCCUUUUUUUUUUUUUCUCCACACAGUUGUUCUGAAGGAUCAUUUUUGCCAAAAUUUCUAGAGGGGAGAAAAUGUAAAGUGAAAGAUGAAGCUGGGUAGAAAUGAGGGUGCAGAGAAUAAAGCUCAGUGUUGGAGAACAUUCCCUUGGACCACUGGGAACAUUUGGGAAGGAGUCUUGCUUUUUUAAAUUUAUUUUUAAUUUUUUUUCCCCCAAAUGUGAUUUGUUUUCUUCUCCCACUAAUUGUUUCCCAGGAAGUUAUCAAUCAGGGGGACAUACCUUUUCCUAAAAGCUGGAGUUUCAUGCUUUCCACCCCUACAAAGGGAAACAGGGAGAGGUAAAGCCAAUAUUUAGAGGAUAAACUAGUGAUUCACACCAUUAUUUUGGAAUUUCAUCCCACCAGAGUCUUUGUCUCAGGAACAGAGAUUUUUCUCUUUCUUCAGUCUUUCUGUCUGAGGGAAAGUCCUUUCUCUUUGUACAGCAGGUUUUGUGCCUUUUUAAUGUGAAAUCCACUGAUUUGAUCCUUCAAAAUUGCAUAUUUCCAGUUGGGAAAUGUAGCAAUAUUUUCCACAGAAUGACAGCAGAACUGCAAACCCCAAAUCCUAAAAAAAAUUAUACUUAGAUGUAAAUGAGACCAUCUAAGCCUGAACCACUGUCACCAGAAUUGCUCUUUUUCCCCCCUAAUGUUUUUCAAAUUAUUUAAAAUUGAAGGGAUAAAUAACAGGUUUAUUUGGCUUUUACUCUUCUUUUUUUAAUAGCAACACUAAUAAUUUAUUUAAACUAAGCUUAACCUGAUAUACCAAGUAUUUCUCAUUUAAAACCAGUUAUAAAUCUCUUUGAUUUUUGACUCUGUCAAUAGGGUAUGAUUGAAAAUAUUUCACCUGUACUAUAGAUUUGGGGCAAGAAAUGUUAAUUAAGGAUUCUCAAAUGCUGGUUUGGGUGUGUGACACAAUAUUCCCUGGUUAGUACUAAAGAAUAAGUUGUAAGAGAACGUGUCCUACAUGUAGUAACAACACCUUUAGGUGCUUGAUUUUAUCUUGCAAGCACAGUUAGCAUUACUCAAUGGAAAAUAUUUGCUUUUUACAAGACUGCUUUAUAUUGUUUUGCUUCCUUCUCCCCACUUCACCCCCUAUUUUUCGGUCUUUUUUUUUGCUGAUUUUGGUGGUUUUAGGCUAAAAUUUGAAAGCUGAGGCCAAGCUGAGUUUUGAUGUAGGUAUUUCUGCUGAUGCCAAACUGAAAAUAUUAAAACCAAACUGCUGUGACUUCUGUGAGUAACAUUACAAAAAACACCUGUGGAAAGACAGAAGAUGUGAGACUAAUUGAGUGGUUCUAGAACAAUUACAAAUGCAGUGCCUGAACUGACUAAUUGAAAUAAAUCUGAUUUUAAAGUAAUUCUGGUUACAGGGGGAUGUUGCCAACAUAAAACAGGAGGAGUUUGUCACUCUUGUGCUCCUUGGGUUCUAACACUCUAGUACAUGUUUUUAAGAAAUUGUUCUGUGCUUUUAGUACGUUAGGAACAGACAGUUAUUUUGCAUUAUUAUAAUAAUAUUAUUAUAGCAAUUAUUACAAAUAUUAUGCAUGUUAAUGAGCUUGAAACUGCAACAGGGAAAAGUGCAUCUUGACAUUUAAAAAAGAGGUUCUGGCAUCUUGCUGCUGGUUUUUUUUUUUUUGUCUUCCACACCUCAUGCCCCCUCUCCAGUACCUUGUAGAUCUGUAAAGAACAACAAAUAAAGUUAUUUAACUUUUACUGAAA